UACGUAGGGGGCAAGCGUUGUCCGGAAUUAUUGGGCGUAAAGCGCGCGCAGGCGGUUUUUUAAGUCUGGAGUUUAAACCUAGGGCUCAACCUUGGGUCGCUCUGGAAACUGGGGAACUGGAGUGUAGGAGAGGAAAGUGGAAUUCCACGUGUAGCGGUGAAAUGCGUAGAGAUGUGGAGGAACACCAGUGGCGAAGGCGACUUUCUGGCCUAUAACUGACGCUGAGGCGC
rnacentral:rRNA from 1 species